rnacentral:rRNA from 1 species
UACGUAGGGUGCAAGCGUUAAUCGGAAUUACUGGGCGUAAAGCGUGCGCAGGCGGUGAUGUAAGACAGGUGUGAAAUCCCCGGGCUUAACCUGGGAACUGCAUUUCUGACUGCAUCGCUGGAGUGCGGCAGAGGGGGAUGGAAUUCCGCGUGUAGCAGUGAAAUGCGUAGAUAUGCGGAGGAACACCGAUGGCGAAGGCAAUCCCCUGGGCCUGCACUGACGCUCAUGUACGAAAGCGUGGGGAGCAAACAGG